CUUUAUAAUUUUAGUGAAACGCGCCUUGAGAAGAUAACCGGGGAAAACAAAACCCUAAAAUUUUGAAUAACCGCUUUCUUUUCUACCUUCUUUUCUUCAUCUUCACAAUUGACUCUCCCCUCUUGUUUCUCUAUUGUGAGAAGUGACGGAAAGAAGGGAUGUUGUUUCUCUAUUGUGAGAAGUGACAGAAAGAAGGGAGACUGGGAUGGAUCUACUGGUGAUGAUGAACGGAGGUGCUUUCCGGUCAAUUUCGGAGAUGGCAUUGUCAAUUUUGAUGGUUGUUUCCCUCUUACCCUAAUCACACCGCGAAUCACACACCGCCAGGCAGUGGAAAAAGAUGAUGAAGUUUUUUGUUGUCGUAUGCCGCCCUCCCUCGCUGUCUCUAACUAUCUCUGCCCUUUCUUUAUGAAGAUGAUGAAGUUCAUCUUCCUUCAUCUUCUCAGUUUUCCAUCAGGUAAUUAUCGGGUUCGCUCGUGAUGCUGAACUUCAUAAAAGAGUUCUUCUCCGGUCUUAGCAUCUUCCCGGGUAGCUAAACUUCUAUCAUCUCUCGGGAUCGAUCUUAGCCUCCUAUUCACCCCUCUACAGCCUUACUUGUAAGUCCACACCACAAUUGUUCUUAUCUUGUUCUGGAAAAUCAAGAAACAUUCGAAAAACCUUAGGGUUUCGCUUCUUAUCAUCGGUGAGGUCGCGUUUCUUCUUAUCAGUACUAGGGUCUCGUUUCUUAUCAUCAGUGAGGCCUCGUUUCUUCUUAUCAGUAUCGGAUUUCAUCUUGGAUGAGGGACUAGAUUGACGAAACCUGUGAGACUUCUGAGAUCGCUCCAUGCUCCCUGUGUGGCUGUGUGAGGAUACCGAGAUUAAUGGCUGCGACAGGGGUUAGCAAAGCUCCUUAUUUCUUAUCUACCAGUGAACAUCAAAUCUUGUGUUUGGAUACAAUAACAAGCAAAUAUACCUGCUGCUUAUUUAAGUUCAAAUAUGGAGCGGACCAAACAACAAAACAUUCUCAAAGAUCUUUGUUCAGGGCAUUGCAGUUACAUUCAAUUUACACACUUCAAUGUGUUUCCCAAUGCACUAUAUACAUAUCUAUCUCAGAGGUCACUCAGCUUACCCUGAUUCACCUUUGGGACCAGAUGCUUAUCAUGAAUAUCAAAUCUUACUUGUCCAAGAUUACAAGGAACUAAAGAAGAAAAACAAUCAAAACUCUAUACACAAAAAUAGCAACAAACCUAAGGAGAAUCCCAUGAUUUCCAUUGAUUGGAAAUUCUGGAGAUCUUAUUUGCAAAAAUCUUCAGGCCAAUGUGUCACAAUUCAAAUGCUUGGGAGAGUUGCAGCAUUAAGAGAACUUGUUAAAACAAACUUAUCGCAUUACUUGUUCACCGAGUUCACUCCACAAGAAUUGAAGAAAGACAGUUUGAUGCAGCAUCAUAAUGAAGCUUCAAAUGAUUUAGACCUUGUAAAAAUGGAUGAUCAUUAUUCAGAUGAAUUUUUUGAUUUUGAUGAUGAAUCGGAAUGUGACUACAUAAUCACUCUUCCAGAAGAUAAAACUGGUAAUCUGGCCCACAGUUGGUCGUCACCAGAACCUUCUUUAUUUCCGGUCUGUGGACAAACUUUUCUGGAAGACCGUAAAAAGAUUACAGUGGAAAGUACAUUGCUAAAAACUGUUGGUGCUGACUGGCUUAAAUCUGACAAGCGUGAAGAUCAACUGGCUAUUCGCCCUAGGAACAUUAUUCACAAAUAUGCAGCUGAAGGUCGCCCAUAAUUCUUCAUUGUUAUUAACUUUUAGGUGCCAGGUUCAACACAUUAUAAUCUUGCUUCCUACUUUACAGCUUGAAGUUUGAAGGAUAUUAUUGUAAUUUGGUGGUAUAUUAGGUGUUGUGUUUGCCUGAGAGUGAGAGUUAGCAGAGGUAGGAACCGCUGUGAAGCUUUCCGCUCCAAAACCCCAACUGGUGGUGCCGCCUUCAGCCGCUUGCUUUUUCUGGUGCCCAUUGUUUCUUGUUCCAAUGGAUUUGGAUUUGUUUCUUGUUCUGGUGCCUUCAGCCGCUUUCUUGUUCAAGGUUAUUAGCUAAAAUGGGAAAAGAGACUCGAAGAUCUCUUUAAUGGUCGACCCUUUGACAUGCUUGAUGCUACCCUCACAGACAUCAUUCAAAAGUUCCCACUAGACAUUAAGGUAAUACCCUAAGGACUCAAGAACAAGAUAAUUGAUAUGCACCAAAAGGACUUGAGAACAAGAUAAUUGAACUACAAGUGUUGGUUGACCGCAAACCCAAUAGUCAACUUUUCUGGUGUGGUGGGGACCAAAUUUGGCUCAAGAACCGAUGUUUCAUUUGACACCAAAACUGAAAAUUUCACCAAAUACAACAUUGGAAUUAGCUUCUCUAUUCCAAAUCUUAUUGCUGCUUUCACCCUGAAUGACAAGUGGGACACAUUGACUGUAUUAUACUACACAUUGUUAAGUCGUUGACCAACACAACUGUAAAUGCAGAAGUCAACAAAGACUUUUCUAGCAAUGAAAACACGAUUACAAUUGAGUCUUGACAAAAAUUGUUUAGGUCCUUUGAGGAAAGCUUAUUGCAGCUCUCUUAAUCUACUUUUAAGGCGUGAGGCACGUGAAUUUGCUAAUGAGUUUAGAGCAAUUACAAAAGCAUCAAGAAAUCCAACUGUUUUGCUCGAAGGUUCAACUGGUUCAAAUCAAAAUGUAAACAAUGCAGAUACUUCCACUGCUCUGAAGCUUAUGCCAAAAUGCUCACCAUAUUAUCCCACUCCUUGUUGAUGAGUUCCUUUUUUCACACUUCAUGUGCUUUGGAGUUUCUGCACUCGCUAAACCAGGAAGUCCUGCAGAUGGCAAUAAAACAAACGAGGACGAUUUAGGCAUUAUGGACAUCAAUGAUAAUGAUGAUGACGACAACAACAACAACAAAAGUAAAAAUAAAAAACAAAAAAUUUCAAUUCAUUUCCAUUUUCCACCUAAUUUUUAUACUGUUGUUGACCUUUCAUUUCCAUUUUUCCACCUAAUUUAACACUUCAGUUCAAGAUUUGGUAACUUACCUGAGAUCAGCUAUUGACAUUUUGUUUCUUUGUGGAAGUUCAGAUUUGGUUAUAGCAAAACAAGCAAUUCUCUUAUAUCUGUUUGAUCGACUUUGGAAAAUACCUGAUGACAAAUGGAGAUACUGUGUAGAUGACUUUUCUUCUACAUUUAACAUAGCAAGACACUCAAUAUAUUGGAUGAAGCCCUACAGAUUAGCCAGAGUUGUCUAGUGCAUGAACUACAACAGUUCCCUGUUCCUAAGAUGCACAUUAAUGACAUUGUUGGGAGUUUUUUGUUUGAAGGUCUUCAACCUUCACAAAUAAUGAUUGGACACUUAGUAGAAAUGGAGAGUCAAUUGGUAGGGAAAUUGUUAAUUUUUCAAAGUAAAACAAAGGGUUGAUUGAACGAGAGAAAAGAAAACACCAACACUCCAUGGCUAAUAAGAAUAAAAAAAAUAAAGAUAUGAGGCAAAAAAGUCUUUGUUUGGCAGCUUGGACAAACUUUGUAGCACCUGAUCGUCCAUGCCACUCUUGUUACAGGACAUAAGUAUGGGCACAUCAUGGAACAUUUUAGGGUAGUUGUUGGUUUUCCUCUUGGUGAUCCAUCAAUGAAGUGGCUAACAUCAUGUAACAACAUUUUAGGGGAAGAUGUAUGUAUAUGUUUUUUUUAAUGAAUAAUGUAAUCAUAUGUAUGAAUAUGAAAUAAAGUUUGUUAUUUGUAUGACAAUAAAUUUUAUGCAAUGGAUUGUAAUUUUACUA